CAAAAGAAGAGAAAAAUAUUCGAUUCGAAUUCAAAGUUGGAUCGGCUCGGUGUGGAUCAAGCUUAUCGACACCGAACCACAAAUGUGACGGCCAACAGCAGUGGCCAAAGUUUGAUACAGAUAACAUUCGGCAUUCUGAGGCAAAAGUGCGUUCACCAUAAAGUUUUUCAAGCGUCGCCAGGACUGGCAGGCUCCACAAAGGUGUCAAGGUCGAUCCCGUCUGCGAUGCGAGUGGUUGUGUCGAUGAAGGUCUCCAUGAAAUCUUCGAAUCGCAGCUUCUUGGUGUUGGCGACCUGCAACGCCUUCAGCUUUUCUUCGCGAGCUUCUUUGCAGUGCACUCGGACCAGAGAUAGCGCCACGUCCGCACCACAACGAGCGGCACACUUCUUCCAUGCCUGC
rnacentral:lncRNA from 1 species